GCAAAUGUCAUAUCGGAUGUUGUUUAUAAUGGCGGAAGAAAUAUGUUGUGACUUACAAGUGACCUCUUCCUUGAAUAUUUGAUGUCACAGUGCUGUUUAAAGAUUCAUCAGUAUGUGAUAUUUGCCCAAAGAUGGAUCUUAAUACCCACAUACUUGGACAAAGAAUAGAGAUUUUCAUGGGAUUUAUCUCCAGAGGUCUAAUGCAGAAUAAAAAUUAAGAGUCUGGACAGAAGCGAAUAUGUGUAUCAAUGGACUAAACCUAUCUUGAGCUGGUACCGGUUUUCUAAGCAACAAUGUUGGUAGGCGACAGUGGCCCACUGUCUCAGUUUUGCCACAGUCCAGGGUCAGCACCAAGCUACAUGUAUAGGACUCCUACCUAAUUACUAAAAUUAUCUUUAUGAAGAAAAUUUACAAGACUUCUUGAUGACUGGGAAGACAUAUUAAAUCUGAUUGAAUUUACACACUUGAUUGAUUAGCUUUGUCAACACAAUAGCCAAAUAUAAACUAGUAUACUAUUUUAGCAUUAUUUAACAAGUAUAAGUCAGACUGUUUAGAAUUUUAUGAUCCUAUAGUAAAGGAAAAAUUACAGUGUUUAGAUAUAUUCAAUUCAUCUCAGUUGUUCUUAAUGCAUAUGCAUGUACAUGUAUAAAUACAUGUAUAUGACUUUUUUUAAUAAAGUAUACAUAUAUAGCUGAUGUAAUGACAUUGAUAUAAUCAGAAUUGAUAUGUGUAUAGGUAUUCUGUAUUGCUUUAUCUAGGUUGGAUCUUGAAAGCAUGUGUAUGGUACACUGUAUCAUAAAGAUGAUUUUUUCAUUCUUUGUUUACAGUUAUUGUCAUAAAGGGCAUAUGAACAGAUUUUUUUUCUUUGACUCCUUUUACUUAUAUAUAUAUAUAUAUAUAUCUCCUGGGGCCAUAAUACAAACACCUAGUAACAAUAUUGUUUGAAUUAUAUAUACCGUAGAUGGGUUUCUGUGUGCACUGAUUUACUUGUACUCAUCCAUGUACAUGUACAAAUACAAUUGCAUUUUGUAUAUGUUUGUGCAUUUGCUGAUAAUUUCAAGCACCAUAAAAUCUGUUGUAUUAAUUCAUUUUGUAAACUGCAGCAUAUUUUGACAGGUGGGGUAUCGUUACAUAAUUAUGUACUAGAAAAAUGUAUACGGUAUAUCCCAUUUCAUUUUCUUGAGCGGAAGGGGGGGGGGGGGUCAGUGCCUAUAUGCACAUAACUAUUCUACGUUAAUAAGUUUGCAUUUUACACUUACCCUACAGACUACCACCCCUCUGUAAUUAUUUUUGUUCAUGAUCGAAUAUUAAUUCAUAUACAUGUACCAAUUGAUUCAAUAAAUGUAAAUGAU
rnacentral:sRNA from 1 species